UCAAGCUGGGUGACAUUGUCCCUGCUGAUGCCCGCCUUCUUCAGGGUGAUCCAUUGAAGAUUGAUCAAUCUGCGUUGACCGGUGAGUCCCUCCCUGUCACCAAGAACCCAGGUGAUGAGGUGUUCUCUGGUUCAACCUGCAAGCAGGGCGAGAUUGAGGCGGUCGUCAUUGCAACCGGUGUCCACACCUUCUUUGGCAAGGCAGCUCACUUGGUGG
rnacentral:misc_RNA from 1 species